rnacentral:tRNA from 1 species
AGGGAUUUAGCUCAAUGGUGCAGAGCACCUGCCUGGCAAGCAUGAGAUCCUGAGUUUGAUUCCUG